ACCAAGAGUCAGACGCUUAACCAACUGAACCAUCUUCUCCCACCACCCCUCCCACACCCCCAGGAAAUUUGUUUCUAAUGAGUAUUCAAGAUAUUUCUGAUGCUGCAGGGCUACAGACCUAGCCCUUCCUUCACAAACGUCAACAUCAGCCUUCCGGGUUGUGACAACUGUGUUUCACCUGGCAACCGUAUUCUCUUUUACCCUUUCCUCACUACCUUACAGAAAACUUAUUUUCCCAGAAAUCGUUCUCAUUUUGAAGAUAUUCUCCCUUUAAACAACGGGAAGACAUCAUUAUGUUUGGUGGGGAGGACAGCCUCCAAGCACAGAUGUCCUUCCUCUAUUGUUCCGGAUAAAAGAUGGAACUGCAAAGCCAACUCUAGGUGCCAGUGCAUUGCAUCCUGCUUCCUCACUUGUUAAUGACCAAUCUCUUUGAAACGCUCACACACAGUAGAUUGGAGUUGUGAAUGGAAAUCCUAGGAAACAGUGAUCACUGGUUUUGGGGCAUUUAUACCAGCAUAAAGCAGCCCAUUGUGGGAAUCUGCCAUUUCCAUCAGCUGGCCUUCAAAGUUCAGAAGUGAGCAAAUAACAGAAAAGCAAAGCAAACAAAACAACAAAAACAAACCAGCAUUUCCUCCAAAAAAGAACGCAAUGCCAUUUAAGCUUCAGUUACACUUCUCGCUGCCCUGGGAGCAGCCAUGCCAGGGCCCGAGGCCUCUGGCUGAUCCAGGGCCCAUUUUGAGUUCCCCCCAUUGUUCCUGGCACCACGGCUCCUGUGUAGCAAGCAGGAUAUUCGACUUGACAAGGCUCUUUCUUUCUGGAUCAGGGAGGGAGCAAGGUUCUUGUCAGUUUGAAUCACGAGUCCACACUUGGCGGAGCCGACUGGACAGGCCCAGUGGGGGAAGGGGCCAUGUGCGCGCCAUCCGUGCGCGCGUCACGUGGGCCUCUCUCCCCAUCUCGCAAAUAACUCCACUGGCUUCAAGCUACCCUGCUCCGAGAGGGCCUGUUUACCAUUUGGCCAGCUGAUCCGCUUCUGACGCUGAAUCUCCUCGUUAUCCAGCAGCUAAAAUUUUACUUUCAGGCUUCAUCCCUCUACCGCGAUUUUUCUCACAGCGGCAGCUGAGAAUAUCCAGUUCUGAAAUUCUCAGGGUUUUACUGUUUUAAAAACGCAUUUCUAAGGAUAUAUAUAUAUAUAUGCCUUUUUUGGAGUCCACGUCAAAAGGCUUUCAGAAGUCAU